rnacentral:rRNA from 1 species
UCGGGAAUUUUGGGCAAUGGGGGAAACCCUGACCCAGCAACGCCGCGUGAAGGAUGAAGUAUUUCGGUAUGUAAACUUCGAAAGAAUAGGAAGAAUAAAUGACGGUACUAUUUAUAAGGUCCGGCUAACUACGUGCCGGCAGCCGCGGUAAUACGUAGGGACCAAGCGUUGUUCGGAUUUACUGGGCGUAAAGGGCGCGUAGGCGGCAUGACAAGUCACUUGUGAAAUCUCUGGGCUUAACCCAGAACGGCCAAGUGAUACUGUCGCGCUAGAGUGCAGAAGGGGCAAUCGGAAUUCUUGGUGUAGCGGUGAAAUGCGUAGAUAUCAAGAGGAACACCUGAGGUGAAGACGGGUUGCUGGGCUGACACUGACGCUGAGGCGCGAAAGCCAGGGGAGCAAACGGGAUUAGAUACCCCAGUAGUCCCUGAGCGGGCUGGCAAGGCGCAU